AUAUAGUGAAGUAGAUAAAAUAAGAUUAUCCUAUUGAAUAAGAUAUGCCAUGUUGAAGUGGAGGAAAGAGAAGAAAGAAAAGACGACUUGUUCAAAGCAACCGUGUAGAGAGUCUUAAUUAAGCAAACAACAUUUUCCUUCUAGUAACAAAAGGCAUAUGAUAUGAUACUAGUAAAAGGAGUUAAGAAUAGGUCCUGUCUUGAAUUUGUGUUACUCGGUUUACGCGGUGUUUACAGCAUUUCUAUAUAAAGUACGUCGGCACUAAUCAUCCUUACCUCUCAUUCUCAACAACAUACAUGGCUACACGAUUGAUCCCUAAACGAGGUCAAGUUCUAAAAAGGAUAUUUAAAAUGGUGUUGUCUUGUGUCUUGUCUUCUGCUUCUACUUCUGCAUCCGUGUUUCCAGCACCUUCGCAUUCAUCAAAACUCACCCAUCAACCACAUUUUGUGUUUCCCUAAUUUUGUUGUUUCUUCAAUGUAUUUUUAUUGUAAUUGCGAUUUUGAGUGGAUAAUUAAAAUAAUAGAAUUUCCUCACCUGUUUUAUUUUGUGAUACAAAGAGGAAUGGAAUAUAAAAUAUGGAUGCUAUUGCUAGCUGAGUCAUACAUACCACAACCCCCUCCCCUUCAUCAAUCAUUUUUCACCACUUAAAGCAGGACCCAUUCUGAAUACUCGAAUUAGUGUAUUUUUUUAUUUGCAAUAUAAUAGAAUUUUUAAUUCUAUUUAAUUAUUAUAAAUAAUAACAUACUAAUUGAAUAGGAUAAUUAAAAUAAUUAAAUACACAUACUUUGUAUUUUUAAAUUCUGAUACAAAUAUUUUUUUUAUUUGUUUUCUCGAUUUUAUUUAUUUUUCAACGCAACUGAAGGUCACGUGACCUUUAUAGCAAGCAGGGCUGAAAAAAUUAAUAAAUUAAGCGCAAAGAGUUUGGUCAAGAAGUUAAUAGUUUUGAGGCCAAUUGUUCCG
rnacentral:lncRNA from 1 species